rnacentral:rRNA from 1 species
CCCAGACAGCCAGGAUGUUGGCUUAGAAGCAGCCAUCAUUUAAAGAAAGCGUAAUAGCUCACUGGUCGAGUCGGCCUGCGCGGAAGAUGUAACGGGGCUAAACCAUGCACCGAAGCUGCGGCAGCGACACUGUGUGUUGUUGGGUAGGGGAGCGUUCUGUAAGCCUGUGAAGGUGGCCUGUGAGGGUUGCUGGAGGUAUCAGAAGUGCGAAUGCUGACAUAAGUAACGAUAAAGCGGGUGAAAAGCCCGCUCGCCGGAAGACCAAGGGUUCCUGUCCAACGUUAAUCGGGGCAGGGUGAGUCGACCCCUAAGGCGAGGCCGAAAGGCGUAGUCGAUGGGAAACAGGUUAAUAUUCCUGUACUUGGUGUUACUGCGAAGGGGGGACGGAGAAGGCUAUGUUGGCCGGGCGACGGUUGUCCCGGUUUAAGCGUGUAGGCUGGUUUUCCAGGCAAAUCCGGAAAAUCAAGGCUGAGGCGUGAUGACGAGGCACUACGGUGCUGAAGCAACAAAUGCCCUGCUUCCAGGAAAAGCCUCUAAGCAUCAGGUAACAUCAAAUCGUACCCCAAACCGACACAGGUGGUCAGGUAGAGAAUACCAAGGCGCUUGA